UACGUAGGGUGCAAGCGUUAAUCGGAAUUACUGGGCGUAAAGCGUGUGCAGGCGGUUUGUUAAGACAGGUGUGAAAUCCCCGGGCUUAACCUGGGAAUUGCGCUUGUUACUGGCAAGCUAGAGUGCGUCAGAGGGAGGUGGAAUUCCACGUGUAGCAGUGAAAUGCGUAGAGAUGUGGAGGAACACCGAUGACGAAGGCAGCCUCCUGGGAUGACACUGACGCUCAUACACGAAAGCGUGGGGAGCAAACGAGG
rnacentral:rRNA from 1 species